rnacentral:rRNA from 1 species
UUAAGCGACUAAGCGUACACGGUGGAUGCCCUGGCAGUCAGAGGCGAUGAAGGACGUGCUAAUCUGCGAUAAGCGUCGGUAAGGUGAUAUGAACCGUUAUAACCGGCGAUUUCCGAAUGGGGAAACCCAGUGUGAUUCGUCACACUAUCAUUAACUGAAUCCAUAGGUUAAUGAGGCGAACCGGGGGAACUGAAACAUCUAAGUACCCCGAGGAAAAGAAAUCAACCGAGAUUCCCCCAGUAGCGGCGAGCGAACGGGGAGCAGCCCAGAGCCUGAAUCAGUGUGUGUGUUAGUGGAAGCGUCUGGAAAGGCGCGCGAUACAGGGUGACAGCCCCGUACACAAAAAUGCACAUGCUGUGAGCUCGAUGAGUAGGGCGGGACACGUGGUAUCCUGUCUGAAUAUGGGGGGACCAUCCUCCAAGGCUAAAUACUCCUGACUGACCGAUAGUGAACCAGUACCGUGAGGGAAAGGCGAAAAGAACCCCGGCGAGGGGAGUGAAAAAGAACCUGAAACCGUGUACGUACAAGCAGUGGGAGCACGCUUAGGCGUGUGACUGCGUACCUUUUGUAUAAUGGGUCAGCGACUUAUAUUCUGUAGCAAGGUUAACCGAAUAGGGGAGCCGAAGGGAAACCGAGUCUUAACUGGGCGUUAAGUUGCAGGGUAUAGACCCGAAACCCGGUGAUCUAGCCAUGGGCAGGUUGAAGGUUGGGUAACACUAACUGGAGGACCGAACCGACUAAUGUUGAAAAAUUAGCGGAUGACUUGUGGCUGGGGGUGAAAGGCCAAUCAAACCGGGAGAUAGCUGGUUCUCCCCGAAAGCUAUUUAGGUAGCGCCUCGUGAAUUCAUCUCCGGGGGUAGAGCACUGUUUCGGCAAGGGGGUCAUCCCGACUUACCAACCCGAUGCAAACUGCGAAUACCGGAGAAUGUUAUCACGGGAGACACACGGCGGGUGCUAACGUCCGUCGUGAAGAGGGAAACAACCCAGACCGCCAGCUAAGGUCCCAAAGUCAUGGUUAAGUGGGAAACGAUGUGGGAAGGCCCAGACAGCCAGGAUGUUGGCUUAGAAGCAGCCAUCAUUUAAAGAAAGCGUAAUAGCUCACUGGUCGAGUCGGCCUGCGCGGAAGAUGUAACGGGGCUAAACCAUGCACCGAAGCUGCGGCAGCGACGCUUAUGCGUUGUUGGGUAGGGGAGCGUUCUGUAAGCCUGCGAAGGUGUGCUGUGAGGCAUGCUGGAGGUAUCAGAAGUGCGAAUGCUGACAUAAGUAACGAUAAAGCGGGUGAAAAGCCCGCUCGCCGGAAGACCAAGGGUUCCUGUCCAACGUUAAUCGGGGCAGGGUGAGUCGACCCCUAAGGCGAGGCCGAAAGGCGUAGUCGAUGGGAAACAGGUUAAUAUUCCUGUACUUGGUGUUACUGCGAAGGGGGGACGGAGAAGGCUAUGUUGGCCGGGCGACGGUUGUCCCGGUUUAAGCGUGUAGGCUGGUUUUCCAGGCAAAUCCGGAAAAUCAAGGCUGAGGCGUGAUGACGAGGCACUACGGUGCUGAAGCAACAAAUGCCCUGCUUCCAGGAAAAGCCUCUAAGCAUCAGGUAACAUCAAAUCGUACCCCAAACCGACACAGGUGGUCAGGUAGAGAAUACCAAGGCGCUUGAGAGAACUCGGGUGAAGGAACUAGGCAAAAUGGUGCCGUAACUUCGGGAGAAGGCACGCUGAUAUGUAGGUGAAGUCCCUCGCGGAUGGAGCUGAAAUCAGUCGAAGAUACCAGCUGGCUGCAACUGUUUAUUAAAAACACAGCACUGUGCAAACACGAAAGUGGACGUAUACGGUGUGACGCCUGCCCGGUGCCGGAAGGUUAAUUGAUGGGGUCAGCGCAAGCGAAGCUCUUGAUCGAAGCCCCGGUAAACGGCGGCCGUAACUAUAACGGUCCUAAGGUAGCGAAAUUCCUUGUCGGGUAAGUUCCGACCUGCACGAAUGGCGUAAUGAUGGCCAGGCUGUCUCCACCCGAGACUCAGUGAAAUUGAACUCGCUGUGAAGAUGCAGUGUACCCGCGGCAAGACGGAAAGACCCCGUGAACCUUUACUAUAGCUUGACACUGAACAUUGAGCCUUGAUGUGUAGGAUAGGUGGGAGGCUUUGAAGUGUGGACGCCAGUCUGCAUGGAGCCGACCUUGAAAUACCACCCUUUAAUGUUUGAUGUUCUAACGUGGACCCGUGAUCCGGGUUGCGGACAGUGUCUGGUGGGUAGUUUGACUGGGGCGGUCUCCUCCUAAAGAGUAACGGAGGAGCACGAAGGUUGGCUAAUCCUGGUCGGACAUCAGGAGGUUAGUGCAAUGGCAUAAGCCAGCUUGACUGCGAGCGUGACGGCGCGAGCAGGUGCGAAAGCAGGUCAUAGUGAUCCGGUGGUUCUGAAUGGAAGGGCCAUCGCUCAACGGAUAAAAGGUACUCCGGGGAUAACAGGCUGAUACCGCCCAAGAGUUCAUAUCGACGGCGGUGUUUGGCACCUCGAUGUCGGCUCAUCACAUCCUGGGGCUGAAGUAGGUCCCAAGGGUAUGGCUGUUCGCCAUUUAAAGUGGUACGCGAGCUGGGUUUAGAACGUCGUGAGACAGUUCGGUCCCUAUCUGCCGUGGGCGCUGGAGAACUGAGGGGGGCUGCUCCUAGUACGAGAGGACCGGAGUGGACGCAUCACUGGUGUUCGGGUUGUCAUGCCAAUGGCACUGCCCGGUAGCUAAAUGCGGAAGAGAUAAGUGCUGAAAGCAUCUAAGCACGAAACUUGCCCCGAGAUGAGUUCUCCCUGACUCCUUGAGAGUCCUGAAGGAACGUUGAAGACGACGACGUUGAUAGGCCGGGUGUGUAAGCGCAGCGAUGCGUUGAGCUAACCGGUACUAAUGAACCGUGAGGCUUAACCU